GCAUUGGUGAUUCACUGGUAGAAUUCUCACCUUCCAUGCCAGAGGCCCGGGUCCAAUUUCUAGCCAAUGCA
rnacentral:tRNA from 1 species